UGGGGAAUUUUGGACAAUGGGCGCAAGCCUGAUCCAGCAAUGCCGCGUGCGGGAAGAAGGCCUUCGGGUUGUAAACCGCUUUUGUCAGGGAAGAAACGAGUUUCUCUAAUACAGAGACUUAAUGACGGUACCUGAAGAAUAAGCACCGGCUAACUACGUGCCAGCAGCCGCGGUAAUACGUAGGGUGCGAGCGUUAAUCGGAAUUACUGGGCGUAAAGCGUGCGCAGGCGGUUAUGUAAGACAGAUGUGAAAUCCCCGGGCUCAACCUGGGAACUGCAUUUGUGACUGCAUGGCUAGAGUACGGUAGAGGGGGAUGGAAUUCCGCGUGUAGCAGUGAAAUGCGUAGAUAUGCGGAGGAACACCGAUGGCGAAGGCAAUCCCCUGGACCUGUACUGACGCUCAUGCACGAAAGCGUGGGGAGCAAACA
rnacentral:rRNA from 1 species